AUGAUCUGGAGUAGGGCUUGCGACAUGACGACGCAGGGCUUCACGGUGAUCAGAGGUGAUGAUGCAGCGGUGAUGUUGUUGCAGGGCGGUGGAUGCACGGUGGCAGCGUGGCUGCGUGGAGACGUGAUGGUUUCUCGGCUUAGUGGUGGUGAGCUGGUGGAAUCGCGUGGGUGUGGUGCCGCUGGGUCGCGAUUCAGAAGAGGGAUGGCUUGUCUCGGCUUUGAGCGACUACUGCAAAUUAUUCUUCAGCCUUCUUCUCUUCUCUUUUUUCUGUGA